GACAGAGGGUGCGAACGUUGUCCGGAAUUAUUGGGCGUAAAGAGCUCGUAGGCGGUCUGUCACGUCGGCUGUGAAAACCCGGGGCUCAACCCCGGGCCUGCAGUCGAUACGGGCAGACUAGAGUGCGGUAGGGGAGACUGGAAUUCCUGGUGUAGCGGUGAAAUGCGCAGAUAUCAGGAGGAACACCGGUGGCGAAGGCGGGUCUCUGGGCCGUAACUGACGCUGAGGAGCGAAAGCGUGGGGAGCGAACAGG
rnacentral:rRNA from 1 species